rnacentral:rRNA from 1 species
UACGGAGGAUCCGAGCGUUAUCCGGAUUUAUUGGGCUUAAAGGGUGCGUAGGCGGCCUAUUAAGUCAGGGGUGAAAGACGGUAGCUUAACUAUCGCAGUGCCUUUGAUACUGAUGGGCUUGAAUGUACUUGAGGUAGGCGGAAUGUGACAAGUAGCGGUGAAAUGCAUAGAUAUGUCACAGAACACCAAUUGCGAAGGCAGCUUACUAAAGUAUGAUUGACGCUGAGGCACGAAAGCGUGGGGAUCAAACAGG